UACGGAGGAUGCGAGCGUUAUCCGGAUUUAUUGGGUUUAAAGGGUGCGUAGGCGGGAUGCCAAGUCAGCGGUAAAAAUGCGGUGCUCAACGCCGUCGAGCCGUUGAAACUGGCGUUCUUGAGUGGGCGAGAAGUAUGCGGAAUGCGUGGUGUAGCGGUGAAAUGCAUAGAUAUCACGCAGAACUCCGAUUGCGAAGGCAUCAUACCGGCGCCCUACUGACGCUGAGGCACGAAAGCGUGGGUAUCGAACAGG
rnacentral:rRNA from 1 species